GAGACAUCGUUCGAGCUUGCUCGGCACACGA
rnacentral:rRNA from 1 species